AGUUAUGGUGGCCGUGCGCAGGGUGCCUUCGGGCACGCCGGGUUCCGUUGACCGGUCCUACCAACUUGUGCACGGUCGCCACCCGG
rnacentral:antisense_RNA from 1 species